rnacentral:lncRNA from 1 species
AUAUGCUCCUAUGCUUUCGAAAGUACGGAGGCCUUCGUGCUUGUAAGUUAUUUUCGAUGAUGGGACAUCCGAUUCGGCGAUCGAUUCUGUUAAACUUGAUCUACGCUAUUGGACCUAUCUAGAAACCAAAUUUCAUAAUUUUUUGACUUCAUUUGUCUAGUGAACGAGUAGCCUCAAAAUGAACGGUCGAAAAUAAAAAUCUCAUAAAAAACAGUGGUAAAUGACUCAAAUUUAAUUUAAAUCGAAAGUAUUGAUCUUGCUAUUGAUAUUAAGUAGAAUUUUAUAUUAAAUUUUUAUAUAAUUUGGAUACUUCUACACUGUUGAACUUAAAAACAUGCCACAUCAGCUGUUAAAAUAGUUAUUUUUUAGACCUUUUGAUCGCUUGAUAAAUGAUGUCAAAAAAUUAUAAAAUUUGGUUUCUAGAUAGUUACAAUAUGGUAGAUUAGACUUAACGGAGCCGAUCGUUGAAUCGGAUGUCCUAUCAUCGAAAACAACUUACAAGCACGGAGGUCUCCGUACUUUCGAAAGUAUAGGAGA